rnacentral:rRNA from 1 species
UACAGAGGGUGCGAGCGUUAAUCGGAAUUACUGGGCGUAAAGCGCGCGUAGGCGGCUUUGCAAGUCGGGUGUGAAAUCCCCAGGCUUAACCUGGGAACUGCAUUCGAGACUGCAUUGCUGGAGUACGGAAGAGGAAGGCGGAAUUCCCGGUGUAGCGGUGAAAUGCGUAGAUAUCAGGAGGAACACCGGUGGCGAAGGCGGGUCUCUGGGCCGAUACUGACGCUGAGGAGCGAAAGCGUGGGGAGCGAACGGG